rnacentral:rRNA from 1 species
UCGAGAAUAUUCCACAAUGGACGAAAGUCUGAUGGAGCGACGCCGCGUGCAGGAAGACGGUCUUCGGAUUGUAAACUGCUUUUCUCUGGGAAGAACUUCGGUGACUGUACCAGAGGAAUAAGGGGUUACUAACUCUGUGCCAGCAGUAGCGGUAAUACAGAGACCCCGAGCGUUAUCCGGAUUUAUUGGGCGUAAAGGGCAGGUAGGCGGACAUGUUAGUCGGAUGUCAAAUAUCCCGGCUCAACCGGGAAAAGGCAUUCGAAACGGCAUGUCUCGAGAAUGUGAGAGAUCGGUGGAAUUCACGGUGUAGUAGUGAAAUGCGUUGAUAUCGUGAGGAACACCCAAGGCGAAGGCAACCGAUUGGCACAUUUCUGACGCUGAGCUGCGAAAGCGUGGGGAG